UUGCGAUGAGAAACAGCGUGAUUUUCGCAUAAAUGGAGGAUUCUCGAAGAGAAAACGCGUGAUUUUUUGCUUAAAUGGCAGAUUUUCGAAGAGAAAACACGUGAUUUGCGGGUUAAAUGGGGGAUUUCCGAAGACAAAAUGCGUGAUUUUGGGGUUAAAUGAGGGAUUCCCGAAGAGAAAACGCGUGAUUCUCGGGUAAAAUCGGAGAUUCUCAAAGAGAAAACGCGUAAUUUUCGGGUUAAAUGGGGGAGUCUCGAGGAGAAAGCACAUGAUUUUCGCUUAAAUGGGAGCUUCUUAAUGAGAAAUCGCAUGAUUUUCGGGUUAAACAAUAGAUUUCCGAAUAGAAAACGUGUGAUUUUCAGGUUAAUAGGGGUUUCUCGAAGAGAAAACGCAUGAUUUUCGGUCUAAAUGGGGGAUUCUCGAAGAGAAAUCGCGUGAUUUUCGCUUAAAUGGGGGGUUUCCGAUGAGAAAAUGCUUGAUUUUUGCUUAAAUGGGGGAUUUGCAAAGAAAGACCGCGUGAUUUUUCGGGUUAAACAAUAGAUUUCCGAAUAGAAAACGUGUGAUUUUCGGGUCAAAUGGGGGAUUCUCGAAGAGUAACCACCAGAUUUUCGCUUAAAUGAAGGAUUUGCAAAGAGGAGCGUGUGAUUUCUGCUUAAAUGGGGGGAUUCUCAAAAAGAAAACGUGAUUUUUGGGUUAAAUGGGGGGUUCUUGAAGAGAAAACGCGUGAUUUUCGGGUUAAAUGGGGGAUUCUUGAAGAGAAAACGCGUGAUUUUCGCUUAAAUGAAGGAUUUGCAAAGAGGAAGCGUGUGAUUUUCGCUUAAAUGGGGGAUUCUCAAAAAGAAAACAUGUGAUUUUUGGGUUAAAUGGGGGGUUCUUGAAGAGAAAACGCGUGAUUUCGGGUUAAAUGGGGGAUUCUUGAAGAGAAAACGCGUGAUUUUCGGGUUUAAAUGGGGAUUCUGAGAGAAAACGCGUGAUUUUCACUAAAAUGGGGGAUUCUCG
rnacentral:lncRNA from 7 species